CAUGCAUGUGGAGAGCAGAGAAUUCACUGCAGUCAGUUUUCGCCUUCUUCCAUGUGAGGCCCAGGAAAGAAGAUGUCCCUGGAAGAAUGGGGCCAUGGGGGGAAGAUAGGAGGCUACCUCAUGGGAAAGGAAACAAUUGCAGGACAAAAGUCCAGAGGUGGGCUAUGCCUGUCACCACCCAGGAGAGUCUGAAAGUUGCCCCUGUGGCCAGAGUCAAAGAGCAGCCAGACAGGAUGCUGAGAACAGGGUGGGGGCCAGCUCAGGGCUGCCUGGCAGGCCAGGUCAGGAAGUAAGGCUGCAUCCUAACUACAUUACCAUCUCACAGAUAAGAAACCAAACGCUGGGGAAAGUCACCGGGCCUAGGUAUGAAGGAGGAAAUCUAAACACGGGGCCUUUUAAAUAUGUAUGUAUUCCACCAUUUUUAAUCACUCUCGAGCACGCGUGUGUGCGUUUUGUGUGUGUGUGUGUGUGUGUGUGUGUGUUUGCAGGUGCACAUGUGUGCACAUUUUUGUUUUUUUGUUUUGUUUUGUUUUUCGCUGCUCACCAAGUAGUCUAAGCUGGCUUGCCAGUGAACCUCUGGAAACCCCAGUCUUCAUCUUCCUGGAAUUCAGGGUACAGAUACACCACCACCCCUAGCUUUUUAUAUGUGAGUUCUAGAGCUCCAACUUAGAUUCACUUCAGCAACCAGCAUCCCUGCAUACCAAACGGUUUAACCUUGUUUCCCUCCUGACGUAUUCUGGGCUGGCCCUCCCCCUCGUCCCUUACACAGUCCUCGCACAGUCCUCUACCUAGUGAUCUGUGUCAGACCACCAGCUCUGCGUUCCACCUCCGCUGAGAGAGCUGGUCACCUGCAUUCCUAGACAAUUGCUGGCCACAUCCUCUUCCAAACAUCAAGAUAUACGGCCUCCAUAAAUUUCCAGAGACACAUUAACGUUCACCUCCAUAAUGCCUUAAUUGUCCAGAAACCAUUAAGGUGACAAAGGGACAGAUGUAAGCGGGGAGGGAGGAGAGCGAGACGCCUAAAUUAAAGGUGAACGGUCCAGGACAGCCGCUCCCAGGGGGUGAGGGAGAUCUGUGGGCUUUCCAGGUCCCCACAAGAAUCGACUGACCCAUGAAUUAUCUCAGUGCGACGCUCUUGAGUCAAGGGGAACUUUUUUAAAGUGGGAUUUUUGCAAAAGGUUAAAUGGAAAUGAAAACUGAACAAUUAUUUUUGUCCUCCUGCCUGGCAGGGCUCCCGCUAAUGUUUGUGCACAGAGAUGAUAACGGCAGGAUUCUUCAAAGCCUGUUCAGGGACAAUCAUAUCACGGGCGAAAAAGGAUUUGAUUUUGUUUAAAAAAAAAAAAAAAGUGUACAUUUGUAAGUGAUCUUGAAAGUAAAAAGACAAGAUGGCAUGAGCUAAGUGCUUUAUUUUCCCCAGUGCUGGUGGGGUUCCACAGCUCCUCAUUGUGCCCAUAAUUGGGGUUUUUUUAAGUGGGAAUGAAGAGAAGUGUUUUCUUUGUCUGUGAAGAUGGCAUUGCUGACCCCCCCAGCCCCCAACCGGGAAUUCUGUUUCUGGGAAACAAGAGGCGUUUGCUCCUGCUGGGCCUCCGCAUUUGGAGACCACUCUAAGCAUAGCACACUGGUUCCGACCUUGUGUUUCCCUUCAUCAGUCUCAGGGUUACUAACUUCCUAGAGAGGAAGAGGUUGAAGACACCCCAGAAAUCAUUGUAAUACCUUCUGGGGCUCUGGAGAUGGCUCAGUCGGGAGGUAAGGGAUUAAUUCACCUGUGCUAGGCCAAGUGUGAGGAAGUGAAGACAGGGGUUUGAGCUCCUAAAAUCCAUGUUUUAAAAAUCCUGGGAGCAGGUGAGACGGAUGGAAUUCCAGCACUGAGGAGGUAGAAACAGGAGUAGCGGAAACUGGCCGGGAGCCAGCCUAGCCAAAGAAGUUGGUUACAAGGUUCAAUGAGAAACACUGUUUCCAAAUAAAAGGGAGAUUGAAAAGCCACCAGACACAAACUUCUAACCUGCACGGGUAUGAUCAACCCCUACCCUAGUGCAUGUACAGACAGACAUGGGGGAGGGGGGGAUCUCCUGGCCUGCGAGUCAGGGGGAAACUUCCCUGCGAGCCAUCAUAUAAGUAGAGUUAUUGUAGACUGAACAUCAACAGUACCGAAACCCCAAACCUGAAAGCCUCCCAGCUCUGAAACUUUUAAGCACCAAGGUGAGACCAGGAGUGAAAAACUCGGUACUAGAAAACCUUAUUUCAUUCAGAAAACUCCUUAAAAUGUUGUACAAUGGCACCUUCAGGUUAGGUCUGAGAUAUAUAUGAGACAUAAAUGAAUUCUGUACUUAGACUUGGUUCCCAUCCCUAAGAUAACUCUCACACACAGGCGUGACAGGAAAACCCUCCUCAGAAGGAAGAUGCAGCCCUCCUGGCCCUGAGCUUCUGCAAUGACUUGAGCGCAACCUGGUUUUCCCUCCUUAGCCGGUGUUAUUUCAACGUGUCUCCCGUGUGGCCACAGCCUAGGUGUUAGCUCCAUUUGAGAGCUCCUAAUUGCAUUUUGUAAAACAAGAAAGAGCAAAUCCCAGAAGCUUCCAAGGGAGUCCAUUUCAUAUUUCAUUGCCCAAAAUGUUGCUGCUGUUUAUGCCUGAAAGAAAUCAAUAGGAAAUUCCCAGACACCGAACGAGACGGUCCAGACCCAGCUUGUGCUUGAUGGAGCAGGUUUCUCUCCACCAUAUGCCCAGGGAAGGGGUGCUUGGAUAGUGCCAGUGACUCCCAGAAGAAAGGUGUUCAUCAAACGCUCUGUGAAAAUUAAAACUUUGAGUGGAGCUUAUGGCUGAAAGCAUUGGACAAACAGAUAUUUUUCUCAUGUGUCCUUGAUGAAGUUCUGGUUACAAAGGUUGGUUUGUUUUGAUUGGUCCUAGUAAUCGCCUGUCACCUCCCCCCCCCACACACACACCCCUGCCUCCUUUCCUGCCCUUUAGAGUAGCUUCCCCACUUCUUGAGGACUCCAAAGAGUCCACUAGCCCAAGUGCUUAGAUGGUGCUAACCUACUCAAAGAAACACGGAGACUCCUGACCCAAGUCUUACCUCUCAGCAAAGAUGGAUCCAACAAGAGUUAAUACGAAGUAACUAUGGGUUGGGACAGCAUUCAUACCUGCUAGAAUUCCCAGGACCAGGGGACGCUGUAAUGUAAUCCAGCAAAGCAUUCACUGGAUUUGGGAGAGAGGCGGGGCUUGAGAAAAGAGUCAUACCGGAAGGGAAAACGGGAAACAGAGAAAAACUGAGUUCUGGACCGAAGCAGUGGGUUCUGCUCCAGACUCACUCACUAGAAUUGGAAGGGUCAUGCUUAGCUGUGACCUUUUAGACCUCAGAAUCUCACUCAGUCCUGUGUUCUCAGAAGUCAGUGUGAACAGCCGCCUGCAAACAAAGAGUGCCUGUCAGGUUUACCCGAGCUGUGCCGUGAUCUUCAUACUUCCUAACACCCAGCAGAAUGUCACCCAGCCUUCCUGUGUCAUGAGAAUGCCCUUCACACAGAGUGGCUUUCUUUCAAAUAUCUGACAAUUAAGAAUAUACAUGGCAGAAGGCUUCUCUUGGGGCUGGAGGGACAGGUUCAGAGGUUAAGAGAACCGGCUGAUCUCACAGAGGGCCAGAGACCAGUUCCCAGCACCCACAUGGCGGCUUACAAUCAUCCGUAACUCCAGUUCCAGGGAUCCAACACACUCUUCUGGCUUCCACAGGCACCACACACAUGGAGUGCAAACAUACACGCGAGCGAAACGCCCACUCAUAGGCACAAAAUUUGAACCUUCAAAAUAAGCUCCAUCUGUGUGGGAUCGGCUCUCAUGACCCAAACACAAGUCACGUGGCCAACCCUGUAGCCAAUGGAAGUGGUGCGCAUUCAGCCCGUGUGGGAAGCGCUGCACUGACAAGCAGGGAGAGCUGAGGAAGAGCUUCCUCCUUCCGCUAGGGAAGUGCUCCUUCCGCAUCAUUUUACUGCUUCACCUCCACAGCCCGGUACAGGACAGAGCUGCUUCGUAAGGGUGUGCUCAGCAUCUGAAUUCCAACCAAUACAGUCCCCAUGAACUUUUGUAACCCAAUCCAUUUCAGAGACAGGAACUGCCCGUAAUGGGAGGCUGCGUGAAAUAUGUCCCCCGGAAAGGUAAUGCACAGGUGCUAGACACUAAAUCAGCCACCACAGCGUCUUCAAUGGAUUACAGGAGAGAUGGCUUUGACGAAUGCCUUCGCCUUGCCACGAUUAUGAUUUCUUAUUCAUCUUGUGGGUUUUUAAACAGAACCUUGUACUUAGUAUUCAAAUUAAUGACUCCAAUGUAUUUGCCUGGAUUUUCCUUUUAAAAAAGAAUCAUUCCG